rnacentral:rRNA from 1 species
UACGGAGGGUGCAAGCGUUGUCCGGAUUUAUUGGGUUUAAAGGGUGCGUAGGUGGCCCGUUAAGUCCGGGGUGAAAGCCCACUGCUCAACAGUGGAACUGCCCUGGAAACUGGACGGCUUGAGUACAGACGAGGGCGGCGGAAUGGAUGGUGUAGCGGUGAAAUGCAUAGAUACCAUCCAGAACCCCGAUUGCGAAGGCAGCUGCCUAGACUGUAACUGACGCUGAGGCACGAAAGCGUGGGGAGCGAACAGG